GUGUUGGUGGUUCAGUGGAGGAAUUUUUGCCUUCCAUGCAGAAGACUUGGGUUUGAUUGCCAGCCAGUGUA
rnacentral:tRNA from 1 species